CGAGCUUCCUCAACUUUAGCGACGCCUUGACAAGUAGCGAGCAAACUUUUUCCGCAGCCGCUUAGGAAAAACAAAAAUCCCAAGCAAAUGAGGAGUGGCUUCAUAUGCGCGUUUAGUGAUGGAGCCUUGCGAAAAGUCGCUGCCUUGUUUGGGUCGCUUUCAGUGUAUUUUCGUGCUGUAGUUGAACCUGGCGCCGAAGCAAGUUAGCUUAGCAUCAAGCCGACAAACAACAACAACAACUAAAAAGUCUCCUUCAACUUGUUUGGCCGACUGAAAGUUUCGCAUUCCUCUCCGGUUUGCCUGUCAGCUGCGCGGCAAAAUGUCCAUUUUAGGCUUAAAAAAGAAACAGCCCAAAACGUUCAAAGUCAAAGUCAUCACCAUGGAUGCUGAGAUGGAGUUCAGUUGCGAGGUGAAGUGGAAAGGCAAAGACUUGUUUGACCUG